rnacentral:rRNA from 1 species
CCUACGGGAGGCAGCAGUAGGGAAUAUUGCUCAAUGGGGGAAACCCUGAAGCAGCAACGCCGCGUGGAGGAUGAAGGUUUUCGGAUUGUAAACUCCUUUUGUUAGAGAAGAUAAUGACGGUAUCUAACGAAUAAGCACCGGCUAACUCCGUGCCAGCAGCCGCGGUAAUACGGAGGGUGCAAGCGUUACUCGGAAUCACUGGGCGGAAAGAGCGCGUAGGCGGGAUAGCAAGUCAGAUGUGAAAUCCUAUGGCUUAACCAUAGAACUGCAUUUGAAACUGUUAUUCUAGAGUAUGGUAGAGGUAGGUGGAAUUCUUGGUGUAGGGGUAAAAUCCGUAGAGAUCAAGAGGAAUACUCAUUGCGAAGGCGACCUGCUAGAACAUAACUGACGCUGAUGCGCGAAAGCGUGGGGAGCAAACAGGAUUAGAUACCCCAGUAGUC